rnacentral:lncRNA from 1 species
GCUCCCUACUCCUGACUAAUAAUGCUAGGCAGCAAAGUCUUCAUUCUCCUAACCAUGAGCCUCGUCACUAUCUUAUACAAAGUGGUACACAAGCUAAUGGGCCUGUAGUGGCCCGGUUCCGAUGCAUCCUAACGCUUCGGUAUCAGGGUGAUAUAAGUAGCCUGCCAGCCAUCUGCCAUCACCGCUCGACUGAAGAAUAGCUGCACUGCCUCCACCACCGACCUCCUAAUAAUACUCCAAUAUCUCCAAAAAAAAGAUGGGUGGAAACCCGUCCGGACCUAGGGCCUUGUCCUCUGCUAGAGCCCAUACCGCCUC